CUGUUCUAAAGGAGAAUUCCAGCACUAGCUCCAGUGUUUCUCCUCCUCACUGGCUGCAGACAGCCAAUCAGAGAAGAGACUGAAUUUGGUUGAUUUACAGUUCUACAGUCAGAACAUCGGUACCACCACAGCCGGUUCUGUCUGGACUGAGCUUCAGCUUCUUAUUGGUCCAUGUCUAACUGGUCCUCGGACCAGGGGAGGUGGUGGACCAGGCCCUGGUUUAUGUUUAUAUACAGUAUGUGUGUGUGUAUAUAUUUGACAGAGCAGCAGCGUCUACUGUAGUCCAGCCAUAUGUCUCCUAAUAGAGGAGCAGCUCAGAAAUAUACAGCUGUUAUAUACUGUGGCUAAACAUAGGGCCACGUCGGAGAGAAGUGUGGUGAAGUUGGUGUGGUGUUAGCAGUUCAACUCCACCUGUGGUAAAGUGUCUCUAUGAAUAUGGUGUAGUGGUGUAGUGGUUAGCACGCCUGCCUUAAUAUUCAGAGAGUCCUGGGUUUGAUUCCCAGAGGAAUCCAUAAAAUCAGAGGCUGUUGCUACAUGUUAGUCUUUAAAUAAAGGUCAAAGGUUUAGUUGCCGUGUCUCUGGAUAACACAGGCAGAGCGCCUCCCUGUGGACAGUCCUCUGCUCUGCGGCUGCUGAGACUGAUGGAUCCCUAUAUUUGCUUUGAAUUUUUUUAAAACUAAAAAGAAGAAGAAGAACCUGCAAGAACUGAGGAGAUCAAAGAGACCUCCCUGGACCGUCUGUCCAGGUCUGUCUGGACCGUCUGUCCAGGUCUGUCUGUCCAGGUCUGUCUGUCCAGGUCUGUCCCUGUUUUAUUCUCACCUCCGUUUAGAUUCAGAGAAAUGGUGUCGACUCCAGGCUGCCUCAAAACAACCCAAACAUCUCUAAGAAUCCUCUGACCAAAGAACAUUCAUCACCACCAGUAGAUGUCGCUCACCUCACCAAUCUUUAAACUACCUACAGAAAAAAGCUUUCGUGAAGAGCUAGCCUUAGCGAUACCUUGUCAUUUCCGUCACAGUGAGUUGAGCAGCUGUCCACGUGCCGCGGUCGCACCAGGAGGAGACGGUGGAGAAGAGGACCAGGCUGCUCUCCUGCUCCACUGAAGGAAAACUCUUUGUUAUGGUUUUCCUCCGGUCUGAUGUUCUUCUGGAGAACGUUGUUUUGGUAGAACUUCUAAUUUGAUCUGAACCUGAUGUUGUUUUCCUGUUUUUUAAACUCCAUCGUUCCACAUUCAUUAAGUCAAAGAAAGAAAAAAAAGAAAAAGACGACGCAGCGUCAGAGUGAGAACCUUCAGCCCGGAGCUGCUGUCCCUCAGUCUCUGCACUCAUGGAAACGUCAUGUUGUUGAAUGUAAAAACCAACUGAACACUACCUUGACCACAACUCCUAAGGCCUCCAGAAAGCUCCGCCCAUCCCUGCAGGAACCAUCUGCGUUCUGUUCCAGAAAUAACCUUGUUUUAUCCCAAAUGUGUUUUUUUUUAACCUUAGGAAUGGUUCGUCACCACGGGCUGAACAGCAUUGUGGGAGUUUAUUGCUGAAGGAACGUUGUUUACGAUGGUGAUGACACAGUAGGUCGUUGGUGCGUCCUCCUGAGGUGAUGAUGUGUCUGUUGUUCCUGUGUCUGUGAACACACCUGCAGAGAGAAGGUUACAGAAGGGUGAACCCAUGCACUGCUAUAUGUGUGUGUGUGUGUGUGUGUGUACACACAGAAUAUACACACAACUACUUGACAUCUAUAACUGUGCCACUUUAUUCAAACAAUAAAGAGCCGAACUGUA